GAUGAACGCUGGCGGCGUGCCUAAUACAUGCCAGUCGAGCGAACAGACGAGGAGCUUGCUCCUCUGAUGUUAGCGGCGGACGGGUGAGUAACACGUGGAUAACCUACCUAUAAGACUGGGAUAACUUCGGGAAACCGGAGCUAAUACCGGAUAACAUGUUGAACCGCAUGGUUCAACAGUGAAAGACGGUCUUGCUGUCACUUAUAGAUGGAUCCGCGCCGCAUUAGCUAGUUGGUAAGGUAACGGCUUACCAAGGCAACGAUGCGUAGCCGACCUGAGAGGGUGAUCGGCCACACGGGAACUGAGACACGGUCCAGACUCCUACGGGAGGCAGCAGUAGGGAAUCUUCCGCAAUGGGCGAAAGCCUGACGGAGCAACGCCGCGUGAGUGAAGAAGGUCUUCGGAUCGUAAAACUCUGUUAUUAGGGAAGAACAAAUGUGUAAGUAACUAUGCACGUCUUGACGGUACCUAAUCAGAAAGCCACGGCUAACUACGUG
rnacentral:rRNA from 1 species